AGAUCCGUUCAACAUGGAUUUUAGAUUGCAAUGGUUUAUCGUUGAUCUCAGUACAUUAACAUAAUGCCCCUAUAUUCCUAUAUAGUAUACCAUUCUAACUUCGUACCUACAAAAGUCACGACAACAACGCCCAUAAUCUGGCUUUUUACUAUUUAAUUCAUUCGGGUCUACAUUUCUUUUGCAUUGCAAAGACGUUCAUGACACUACAAAUAACUCGCGAUGAUUAUUUUAGUGGUCGGAACCUUCAAAUAUUAUCACGCAAGGGUCU